rnacentral:rRNA from 1 species
GGGGACCCGCACAAGCGGUGGAUGAUGUGGUUUAAUUCGAUGCAACGCGAAAAACCUUACCUACCCUUGACAUGUCAAGAAUCUUGCAGAGAUGUGAGAGUGCUCGAAAGAGAACUUGAACACAGGUGCUGCAUGGCCGUCGUCAGCUCGUGUCGUGAGAUGUUGGGUUAAGUCCCGCAACGAGCGCAACCCUUGUCAUUAGUUGCUACGAAAGGGCACUCUAAUGAGACUGCCGGUGACAAACCGGAGGAAGGUGGGGAUGACGUCAGGUCCUCAUGGCCCUUAUGGGUAGGGCUACACACGUCAUACAAUGGCCGGUACAGAGGGUUGCCAACCCGCGAGGGGGAGCCAAUCCCAGAAAACCGGUCGUAGUCCGGAUCGCAGUCUGCAACUCGACUGCGUGAAGUCGGAAUCGCUAGUAAUCGCGGAUCAGCUUGCCGCGGUGAAUACGUUCCCGGGUCUUGUACACACCGCCCGUCACACCAUGGGAGCGGGUUCUGCCAGAAGUAGUUAGCCUAACCGCAAGGAGGGCGAUUACCACGGCAGGGUUCGUGACUGGGGUGAAGUCGUAAAAGGUAACCAGUGAUGCGCCGAACGAUUU